rnacentral:rRNA from 1 species
CAGCAGCCGCGGGAAUACGAAGGGGGCUAGCAUUGUUCGGAUUUACUGGGCGUAAAGCGCACGUAGGCGGACUUUUAAGUCAGGGGUGAAAUCCCGGGGCUCAACCCCGGAACUGCCUUUGAUACUGGAAGUCUUGAGUAUGGUAGAGGUGAGUGGAAUUCCGAGUGUAGAGGUGAAAUUCGUAGAUAUUCGGAGGAACACCAGUGGCGAAGGCGGCUCACUGGACCAUUACUGACGCUGAGGUGCGAAAGCGUGGGGAGCAAACAGGAUUAGAUACCCGAGUAGUCCUGUCUCUUAUACA